CGAACGCUGGCGGCGUGCCUAAUACAUGCAAGUCGAACGCUUCUUUCCUCCCGAGUGCUUGCACUCAACUGGAAAGAGGAGUGGCGGACGGGUGAGUAACACGUGGGUAACCUACCCAUCAGAGGGGGAUAACACUUGGAAACAGGUGCUAAUACCGCAUAACAGUUUAUGCCGCAUGGCAUAAGAGUGAAAGGCGCUUUCGGGUGUCGCUGAUGGAUGGACCCGCGGUGCAUUAGCCAGUUGGUGAGGUAACGGCUCACCAAGGCCACGAUGCAUAGCCGACCUGAGAGGGUGAUCGGCCACACUGGGACUGAGACACGGCCCAGACUCCUACGGGAGGCAGCAGUAGGGAAUCUUCGGCAAUGGACGAAAGUCUGACCGAGCAACGCCGCGUGAGUGAAGAAGGUUUUCGGAUCGUAAAACUCUGUUGUUAGAGAAGAACAAGGACGUUAGUAACUGAACGUCCCCUGACGGUAUCUAACCAGAAAGCCACGGCUAACUACGUGCCAGCAGCCGCGGUAAUACGUAGGUGGCAAGCGUUGUCCGGAUUUAUUGGGCGUAAAGCGAGCGCAGGCGGUUUCUUAAGUCUGAUGUGAAAGCCCCCGACUCAACCGGGGAGGGUCAUUGGAAACUGGGAGACUUGAGUGCAGAAGAGGAGAGUGGAAUUCCAUGUGUAGCGGUGAAAUGCGUAGAUAUAUGGAGGAACACCAGUGGCGAAGGCGGCUCUCUGGUCUGUAACUGACGC
rnacentral:rRNA from 1 species